rnacentral:rRNA from 1 species
UAACGCGAAGAACCUUACCAGGUCUUGACAUCCUUUGAAGCUUUUAGAGAUAGAAGUGUUCUCUUCGGAGACAAAGUGACAGGUGGUGCAUGGUCGUCGUCAGCUCGUGUCGUGAGAUGUUGGGUUAAGUCCCGCAACGAGCGCAACCCUUAUUGUUAGUUGCCAGCAUUCAGAUGGGCACUCUGGUGAGACUGCCGGUGACAAACCGGAGGAAGGCGGGGACGACGUCAGACCAUCAUGCCCCUUAUGACCUGGGCUACACACGUGCUACAAUGGCGUAUACAACGAGUUGCCAACCCGCGAGGGUGAGCUAAUCUCUUAAAGUACGUCUCAGUUCGGAUUGUAGUCUGCAACUCGACUACAUGAAGUCGGAAUCGCUAGUAAUCGCGGAUCAGCA